AACAACAAUCAUGGUUGAUCAUUACGGUUGAUUGCAUGCAGCAAAAUUAAAGAUGUUCAUCAUGAUAAUUAUAAUCAAUGUGUGUAUAAAAGCUAGCUAUUAGUAGUUUUAUGUUAUGCAGCUUUGGCACCUCCACCGAGUCAUUAGCACCUGCGGUGCUUUGAUUGAACAAAGUGUUAAUGCUUUGUAUCCGCAAUUUUUUUGCCACGAAAUACCCUUAUUCUGUGGUGUUAAGUUUGAGACAUAAUUUAUAUUAUAUAUACAUUAUUUUAUAACUACAGGAAAAUUGCUCCAUGAGUGGUACGAUACGUCAAAUGAGUGCCAGCUAUAAUCUGAUAGAGGAUUACAACAUGGGGGAUUUUGAUGACGAAGCUGUGGCCAACUAUCCUCUAGCAAUGCUGCCUGCAAGAAGUGAUGAAGCAGCUGAACCACCUGCUAAAAAGCCACGGACAGAAGAGUACGAAGUGCUGGCAGCACCUACAAAGACCCUACCAACUCCUUGCCCACUGGUGCUGGCAGCACCUACGAAGACCCUACCAACUCCGUGCCCACUUCCACCAGUAUUCAGUGAGAGAGUAAACAGAGCAAUAAAAGAGAAACAAAUUUACGGAAAAGACAAACUAGCAUUAAUACGAGAAGCUUCCCUCUUCUAUUAUGGUCUUUGCCCGAAUCCGAAGGGAAAUCAGUACGAUGAAAUGGCUAAGGUUUUGUGUAAUAGCUUUGAGCAGCUACGAAACAAGAUUGUAAUUAACGGAUGCUAUUGGCAUACAGUGAAGCAACAGGUUACUAUGUUCUUCCGAAAUCGGAGAAGGAGGUCAGUACCGUCAGCAAUCAAACCUCUGAAGACAGAAAAGGCGCACUUAGUGCAAAUAAUUGCAGCAAAGCCAGCUGAAGCCGCUCCUGGCCAAGACUCCGUUAUCAGUGUGGACAAAUGUGCAUACGAUUGAAACCACGGUCGGUUGUGCGACCAAUUCACCAAGAAAGCGCCUAACAACGCAGCAAUUACACAGUUAAUAAGGGAGACGCACCAACAAAGAAGGAAGAGAAUUGGAGAUUCAGGUGACAAGAUGUCAAUUCUUCUUUUGACAUAUCCUUUCUUCACAAGGAAUCAAUGGGUGUUAUUUCAUGGAGUUCACGCUAAUGUGUGGGGAGAAAUCCAUCUCUCGAAUCAGAGAUUCUUGGACUAGGAUUGUUCCAACUCUGCUGAAAAUGGAUGGUGAAGUGCCCACUGAUUACUCUGAAGAAACUCGGAGCUACAAGGCACUUCUGUUCAUUGACACACAACUCAGGCCCGCAAGAGUAGGCUCUAAAGCUGCAGCUGCUUUUACUUUGUAUCAAGUCAGGACUGAUAUUGAGGAAGUGACAGCUGAAAAGACGAGCCAAGGCUUGCAAUUUUUGCUGACAAGAACAUGAAUGGCAUGCAAGCGUUCAUCCUUGGUAAAGGAAAGGUUCUGUUUGAAGUAUUGGGCGACAGUGUUAUUGACUCGAUCAUCAGCUUGUUCGCAACAUACUACGCCUUCUACGUCAGUUACCCCAAGCCAUCACCUGCCUCUGGUCUCCUUUUCUUCAUACAGGAAGUGUUGAUGGGUGUGAAAGAGACAUCUGUAAAAAAAACAGUGAGGUACUCAUCAUUCACAAACUCGCUAGAUCAACAUUAGUUACCCCAACUGUACAUUUACUGUUACCAAGUUAGUUACCUAGUUAUUUACUGACUGUAUACAGUUGUAUAUAUCCAAUUAUGAUUAUGUUAUAUUCAGUUUCGCUUGACAAUUAUGUAUAAUUCCUGCGUUCAUUUUGUGUAUUUUUAUUUAUAUAUUAUGGUCAUAUUCUUGUA